UGGGGAAUUGUUCACAAUGGGCGCAAGCCUGAUGACGCAACGCCGCGUGGGGGAUGAAGGUCUUCGGAUCGUAAACCCCUGUCGAAUGGGACGAAUAGCCCGCGAAUUAAUACCUCGUGGGAAUGACGGUACCGUUAAAGGAAGCCACGGCUAACUCUGUGCCAGCAGCCGCGGUAAUACAGAGGUGGCAAGCGUUGUUCGGAAUUACUGGGCGUAAAGGGCGCGUAGGCGGCCAUCUAAGUCAGACGUGAAAUCCCCCGGCUCAACCUGGGAACUGCGUCUGAUACUGGGAGGCUAGAGUGUGUCAGAGGGGGGUAGAAUUCCACGUGUAGCAGUGAAAUGCGUAGAUAUGUGGAGGAAUACCGAUGGCGAAGGCAGCCCCCUGGGAUAACACUGACGCUCAUGCACGAAAGCGUGGGGAGCAAACAGGAUUAGAUACCCCCGUAGUCCCUGAGCGGGCUGGCAAGGCGCAU
rnacentral:rRNA from 1 species